rnacentral:rRNA from 1 species
GACGUAGGGGACGAGCGUUGUCCGGAUUCAUUGGGCGUAAAGGGCUCGUAGGCGGCCAACUAAGUCAGACGUGAAAUCCCUCGGCUUAACCGGGGAACUGCGUCUGAUACUGGAUGGCUUGAGUUCGGGAGAGGGAUGCGGAAUUCCAGGUGUAGCGGUGAAAUGCGUAGAUAUCUGGAGGAACACCGGUGGCGAAGGCGGCAUCCUGGACCGACACUGACGCUGAGGAGCGAAAGCCAGGGGAGCAAACGGG